UACAGAGGUCUCGAGCGUUGUUCGGAUUCAUUGGGCGUAAAGGGUGCGUAGGUGGCGGGGUAAGUCAGGUGUGAAAUCCCGGGGCUCAACCCCGGAACUGCAUUUGAUACUGCCUUGCUCGAGUACUGGAGAGGAGACUGGAAUUUACGGUGUAGCGGUGAAAUGCGUAGAUAUCGUAAGGAAGACCAGUGGCGAAGGCGGGUCUCUGGACAGUUCCUGACGCUGAGGCACGAAGGCCAGGGGAGCAAACGGG
rnacentral:rRNA from 1 species